rnacentral:rRNA from 1 species
ACACUCCUGCGGGAGGCAGCAGUGGGGAAUUUUGGACAAUGGGGGCAACCCUGAUCCAGCAAAGCCGCGUGAGUGAAGAAGGCCUUCGGGUUGUAAAGCUCUUUUGUCAAGGAAGAAACGGUAGUAGCGAAUAACUAUUACUAAUGACGGUACCUGAAGAAUAAGCACCGGCUAACUACGUGCCAGCAGCCGCGGUAAUACGUAGGGUGCAAGCGUUAAUCGGAAUUACUGGGCGUAAAGCGUGCGCAGGCGGUUGUGUAAGUCAGAUGUGAAAUCCCCGGGCUCAACCUGGGAAUUGCAUUUGAGACUGCACGGCUAGAGUGUGUCAGAGGGGGGUAGAAUUCCACGUGUAGCAGUGAAAUGCGUAGAUAUGUGGAGGAAUACCGAUGGCGAAGGCAGCCCCCUGGGAUAACACUGACGCUCAUGCACGAAAGCGUGGGGAGCAAACAGGAUUAGAAACCCUUGUAGUCCCAUGA